GGAAUAUUGGACAAUGGGGGCAACCCUGAUCCAGCCAUGCCGCGUGCGUGAAGAAGGCCUUAGGGUUGUAAAGCUCUUUUGUCCGGAAAGAAAAGCACUGGGUUAAUACCCUGGUGUCCUGACGGUACCGGAAGAAUAAGCACCGGCUAACUUCGUGCCAGCAGCCGCGGUAAUACGAAGGGUGCAAGCGUUACUCGGAAUUACUGGGCGUAAAGCGUGCGUAGGUGGUUCGUUAAGUCUGAUGUGAAAGCCCUGGGCUCAACCUGGGAAUUGCAUUGGAUACUGGCGGGCUAGAGUGCGGUAGAGGGUAGUGGAAUUCCCGGUGUAGCAGUGAAAUGCGUAGAGAUCGGGAGGAACAUCUGUGGCGAAGGCGACUACCUGGACCAGCACUGACACUGAGGCACGAAAGCGUGGGGGAGCAAA
rnacentral:rRNA from 1 species